rnacentral:rRNA from 1 species
GACGAACGCUGGCGGCGUGCUUAACACAUGCAAGUCGAACGGAAAGGCCCUGCUUUUGUGGGGUGCUCGAGUGGCGAACGGGCGAGUAACACGUGAGUAACCUGCCCUUGACUUUGGGAUAACUUCAGGAAACUGGGGCUAAUACCGGAUAGGAGCUCCUGCUGCAUGGUGGGGGUUGGAAAGUUUCGGCGGUUGGGGAUGGACUCGCGGCUUAUCAGCUUGUUGGUGGGGUAGUGGCUUACCAAGGCUUUGACGGGUAGCCGGCCUGAGAGGGUGACCGGCCACAUUGGGACUGAGAUACGGCCCAGACUCCUACGGGGGGCAGCAGUGGGGAAUAUUGCACAAUGGGCGGAAGCCUGAUGCAGCAACGCCGCGUGCGGGAUGACGGCCUUCGGGUUGUAAACCGCUUUCGCCUGUGACGAAGCGUGAGUGACGGUAAUGGGUAAAGAAGCACCGGCUAACUACGUG